CGGACAUAUCAUACUGAAACAUCAGUACCCGUACGUUCAUUGAAGUUAAGCAAUGCCAAGCCUGGUCAGUACUUACGUGGGUGACCGUUUGGGAAUACCAGGUGU